rnacentral:rRNA from 1 species
UCCGCCUGGGGAGUACGGCCGCAAGGCUAAAACUCAAAGGAAUUGACGGGGCCCCGCACAAGCGGCGGAGCAUGCGGCUUAAUUCGAUGCAACCCGAAGAACCUUACCUGGACUUGACAUCAUGGGUCCGCCUGUGGAAACACAGGGUGCUUUUGCGCCCAUGACAGGUGGUGCAUGGCUGUCGUCAGCUCGUGUCGUGAGAUGUUGGGUUAAGUCCCGCAACGAGCGCAACCCUUGUCCUAUGUUGCCAGCGGUUCGGCCGGGGACUCAUAGGAGACUGCCGGGGACAACUCGGAGGAAGGCGGGGAUGACGUCAAGUCAUCAUGCCCCUUAUGUUCAGGGCUGCACGCAUGCUACAAUGGGCGGUACAACGGGCUGCGAUCCCGCGAGGGUGAGCGAAUCCCUGAAAACCGUCCUCAGUUCGGAUUGGAGUCUGCAACUCGACUCCAUGAAGCCGGAGUCGCUAGUAAUCGCGAAUCAGCAAUGUCGCGGUGAAUACGUUCUCGGGGCUUGUACACACCGCCCGUCACAUCACGGAAGUCGGUAACGCCCGAAGUCAGUGGCCUAACCUUUUUGGAGGGAGCUGCCGAAGGCGGGAUCGGCGACUGGGAUGAAGUCGUAACAAGGUAGCCGUA